UACGUAGGGUGCAAGCGUUAAUCGGAAUUACUGGGCGUAAAGGGCGCGUAGGCGGCAGGCCAAGCGUGCGGUGAAAGUCCGGGGCUCAACCCCGGAUCUGCCGUGCGGACUGGUUUGCUAGAGCACUGUAGAGGCGAGUGGAAUUCCGGGUGUAGCGGUGGAAUGCGUAGAGAUCCGGAAGAACACCGGUGGCGAAGGCGGCUCGCUGGGCAGUGGCUGACGCUGAGGCGCGACAGCGUGGGGAGCGAACAGG
rnacentral:rRNA from 1 species